AUGGUAGCAAUGCCAAGGACUGCCAUCGUCCUCUCCACCAUCAUCUUCUUCCUUUUUUCCGCUCAUGCUAGUGGCUCUGACACUGGCAAGCCCAAGGCGACCAAGCUCAUGGUGGAAGCAUGCAAGAAGGCCUCGAUCAAUAACCCCUACAACGAAUCUGUCACGCAAGAAUUCUGUUUGUCCACCCUUCAGUCGGACAAUCGAAGUGCCGAGGCUAAGGACCUCCGUGACUUAGUGCUUGUCACUGUCGACAUCUUUAAAGCCGUGUCACUGCCGCUAGUGGUAAGAUCAAGCAAAAGCUGCAAGAUGCCAAGAAGGGAACAGUGGCAAUGCACGUUCUCAGUUAUUGUGAGGUGGAGUAUGAAGAUGUGGUGA
rnacentral:rRNA from 1 species